rnacentral:sRNA from 1 species
AGAUGGGAGGGUGACAUGGCCACAACAUCCGUCAUCCCCUGAUGGCCGGGGUGGACUCGGCCACUCUAGCUGGCUAGGUAGGACCCUUCCUCCCUCACCAUCCCACCUGAGUCCCUCCAGAAGCCGCACGCUCCGUCGAGGAGAUCAGCCUUCCCUGGAGAGAGAUGGGCUGGUCCCCAGUGGAUCCUGCAGAACCUCCAAAAGGCUCCCCAACUGUAGCGAGGGAAAUCCCUUCUCCCUGUAC